UAGGGAAUUUUCGGCAAUGGGCGAAAGCCUGACCGAGCAACGCCGCGUGAGGGAGGAAGUACUUCGGUAUGUAAACCUCUGUUAUAAAGGAAGAACGGAUGGUGCAGGGAAUGGCAUCAUAGUGACGGUACUUUAUGAGGAAGCCACGGCUAACUACGUGCCAGCAGCCGCGGUAAUACGUAGGUGGCGAGCGUUAUCCGGAAUCAUUGGGCGUAAAGAGGGAGCAGGCGGCAUCCAGGGUCUGCGGUGAAAGCCCGAAGCUAAACUUCGGUAAGCCGUGGAAACCGGGGAGCUAGAGAGCAGAAGAGGAUCGUGGAAUUCCAUGUGUAGCGGUGAAAUUGCGUAGAUAUCACGAAGAACUCCGAUUGCGAAGGCAGCUCACUAGACUGCAAACUGACACUGAUGCUCGAAAGUGUGGGGUAUCAAACAGGAUUAGAUACC
rnacentral:rRNA from 1 species